rnacentral:rRNA from 1 species
AUUGAACGCUGGCGGCAGGCUUAACACAUGCAAGUCGAGCGGGGUGAUGGUGCUUGCACUAUCACUUAGCGGCGGACGGGUGAGUAAUGCUUAGGAAUCUGCCUAUUAGUGGGGGACAACAUCUCGAAAGGGAUGCUAAUACCGCAUACGUCCUACGGGAGAAAGCAGGGGAUCACUUGUGACCUUGCGCUAAUAGAUGAGCCUAAGUCGGAUUAGCUAGUUGGUGGGGUAAAGGCCUACCAAGGCGACGAUCUGUAGCGGGUCUGAGAGGAUGAUCCGCCACACUGGGACUGAGGCACGGCCCAGACUCCUACGGGAGGCAGCAGUGGGGAAUAUUGGACAAUGGGGGGAACCCUGAUCCAGCCAUGCCGCGUGUGUGAAGAGGGCCUUAUGGUUGUAAGCACUUUAAGCGAGGAGGAGGCUCUUUUGGUUAAUACCCAAGAUGAGUGGACGUUACUCGCAGAAUAAGCACCGGCUAACUCUGUGCCAGCCGCCGCGGUAA